UACGUAGGGGCCUAGCGUUGUCCGGAUUUAUUGGGCGUAAAGAGCUCGUAGGCGGUUCGGUAAGUCGGGUGUGAAACCUCCAGGCUCAACCUGGAGACGCCACUCGAUACUGCCGUGGCUAGAGUCCGGUAGAGGAGCGUAGAAUUCCUGGUGUAGCGGUGAAAUGCGCAGAUAUCAGGAGGAACACCGGUGGCGAAGGCGGGUCUCUGGCCGUAACUGACGCUGGAGGAGCGAAGCGUGGGAGCAACAGGAUAGAUACC
rnacentral:rRNA from 1 species